rnacentral:rRNA from 1 species
AUAGGGGGAUCCCAAGGGCACAGGCAUAGUGCCUGUGCUUUUCGGUACCGUANGGUGGUACCAGAAUAAGGGCUGGGCAAGACCGGUGCCAGCCGCCGCGGUAAUACCGGCAGCCCAAGUGAUGGCCGAUCUUAUUGGGCCUAAAGCGUCCGUAGCUGGCCGCGCAAGUCCAUCGGGAAAUCCACCUGCUCAACAGGUGGGCGCCCGGUAGAAACUGCGUGGCUUGGGACCGGAAGGCGCGACGGGUACGUCCGGGGUAGGAGUGAAAUCCCGUAAUCCUGGACGGACCGCCGAUGGCGAAAGCACGUCGCGAGGACGGAUCCGACAGUGAGGGACGAAAGCCAGGGUCUCGAACCGGAUUAGAUACCCGGGUAGUCCUGGCCGUAAACAAUGUCUGCUAGGUGUGGCUCCCACUACGAGUGGGUGCUGUGCCGUAGGGAAGCCGCUAAGCAGACCGCCUGGGAAGUACGUCCGCAAGGAUGAAACUUAAAGGAAUUGGCGGGGGAGCACUACAACCGGAGGAGCCUGCGGUUUAAUUGGACUCAACGCCGGACAUCUCACCAGC